rnacentral:rRNA from 1 species
UACGUAGGGUGCGAGCGUUAAUCGGAAUUACUGGGCGUAAAGCGUGCGCAGGCGGCGCGUUAAGACAGGUGUGAAAGCCCCGAGCUUAACUUGGGAAUUGCGCUUGUGACUGGCGUGCUGGAGUGUGGCAGAGGGGGAUGGAAUUCCGCGUGUAGCAGUGAAAUGCGUAGAUAUGCGGAGGAACACCGAUGGCGAAGGCAAUCCCCUGGGCCUGCACUGACGCUCAUGCACGAAGCGUGGG